rnacentral:rRNA from 1 species
UAGUCCACACCGUAAACGAUGAAUGCUAGUUGUUAGAGGGUUUCCGCCCUUUAGUGACGCAGGUAACGCAUUAAGCAUUCUGCCUGGGGAGUACGACCGCAAGGUUGAAACUCAAAGGAAUUGACGGGGGCCCGCACAAGCGGUGGAGCAUGUGGUUUAAUUUGAAGCAACGCGAAGAACCUUACCAGGUCUUGACAUCUUUCGCUAUCUUAAGAGAUUAAGAGUUCCCUUCGGGGACGGAAUGACAGGUGGUGCAUGGUUGUCGUCAGCUCGUGUCGUGAGAUGUUGGGUUAAGUCCCGCAACGAGUGCAACCAUUAUCAUUAGUGGCCAGCAUUAAGUUGGGCACUCUAAUGAGAUUGCCGGUGAUAAACUGGAGGAAGGUGGGGAUGACGUUAAAUCAUCAUGCCCGUUAUGACAUGGGCUACACACGUGUUACAAUGGUUGGUACAACGAGUCGCAAACUCGCGAGGGUAAGAUAAUAUCUUAAAGCCAUUUUCAGUUGGGAGUGUAGUCUUCAACUAGACUACAUGAAGUCGGAAUAGGUAGUAAUAGCGGAUCAGCAUGCGGCGGUGAAUAUGUUCCCGGGCUUUGUACACACCGCCCGUCACACCAUGAGAGUUUGUAACACCCAAAGUCGGUGGGGUAA